GACGAACGCUGGCGGCGUGCUUAACACAUGCAAGUCGAACGGAGAGGCCCUGCUUUUGUGGGGUGCUCGAGUGGCGAACGGGUGAGUAACACGUGAGUAACCUGCCCUUGACUUUGGGAUAACUUCAGGAAACUGGGGCUAAUACCGGAUAGGAGCUCCUGCUGCAUGGUGGGGGUUGGAAAGUUUCGGCGGUUGGGGAUGGACUCGCGGCUUAUCAGCUUGUUGGUGGGGUAGUGGCUUACCAAGGCUUUGACGGGUAGCCGGCCUGAGAGGGUGACCGGCCACAUUGGGACUGAGAUACGGCCCAGACUCCUACGGGAGGCAGCAGUGGGGAAUAUUGCAGAAUGGGCGGAAGCCUGAUGCAGCAACGCCGCGUGCGGGAUGACGGCCUUCGGGUUGUAAACCGCUUUCGCCUGUGACGAAGCGUGAGUGACGGUAAUGGGUAAAGAAGCACCGGCUAACUACGUG
rnacentral:rRNA from 1 species